rnacentral:rRNA from 1 species
GUAGGAUCCGAGCGUUAUCCGAAUUUACUGGGCGGUAAAGCGCGUGUAGGGCGGGUUGGGGGUAAGUUGGGAUGUGAAAGCUCCCGGCUCAACUGGGAGAGGUCGUUCAAUACUGCCGAACUAGAGGAUGGUAGAGGGAGGUGGAAUUCCCGGUGUAGUGGUGAAAUGCGUAGAUAUCGGGAGGAACACCAGUGGCGAAGGCGGCCUCCUGGGCCAUUCCUGACGCUCAGACGCGAAAGCUAGGGGAGCAAACGGGAUUAGAAACCCCGGUAGUCCUAGCCGUAAACGAUGUGGACUUGGCGUUGGUGGGGUAAAAGCCAUCAGUGCCGUAGCUAACGCGAUAAGUCCACCGCCUGGGGACUACGACCGCAAGGUUA